AGGAAUAUUGGGCAAUGGACGGAAGUCUGACCUAGCCAUGCCGCGUGCAGGAAGACGGCCCUAUGGGUUGUAAACUGCUUCUCUGAGGGAAGAAAAAUAGGUAUUUAUAGGUAUCUGACGGUACCUCAGGAAUAAGCACCGGCUAACUCCGUGCCAGCAGCCGCGGUAAUACGGAGGGUGCAAGCGUUAUCCGGAAUUACUGGGUUUAAAGGGUGCGUAGGCGGUUAGAUAAGUCAGUGGUGAAAGGUUGCCGCUUAACGGUAGAAUGGCCAUUGAUACUGUUUAACUUGAAUCAGGAUGAGGUUAGCGGAAUGAGACAUGUAGCGGUGAAAUGCAUAGAUAUGUCUUAGAACACCAAUUGCGAAGGCAGCUAGCUAGACCUAGAUUGACGCUGAGGCACGAAAGCGUGGGGAGCGAA
rnacentral:rRNA from 1 species